rnacentral:RNase_MRP_RNA from 1 species
AAGCACGGCUUCGCAGUGCACAAACGGGGAGCUUGCUCCCGCCGCUCACGCUGCGGGGAAAGUCCCCGUGCCUUGAGGCAGAGAGUGUCAGCGGGAGACCGCAGGGCGUUGGCUUGCUU